AACGAACGCUGGCGGCGCGCUUAACACAUGCAAGCCGAACGAGAAGGCGUAGCAAUACGCUUGUACAGUGGCGAACGGGUGAGGAAUACAUGGGUAACCUACCCUCGAGUGGGGGAUAACCCGCCGAAAGGCGGGCUAAUACCGCGUACGCUUCCGAUCUUGCGGGAUUGGAAGGAAAGCUGUCCCUUGGGGAUGGCGCUCAAGGAUGGGCUCAUGUCCUAUCAGCUUGUUGGAGGGUAACGGCCUACCAGGGCAUCGACGGGUAGCUGGUCUGAGAGGACGAUCAGCCACACUGGCACUGCGACACGGGCCAGACUCCUACGGGAGGCAGCAGUGAGGAAUAUUGCGCAAUGGGCGAAAGCCUGACGCAGCGACGCCGCGUGGGGGAUGAAGGUCUUCGGAUUGUAAACCCCUUUCGGGAGGGAAGACGGCCUUAGACAACUAAGGCGGACGGUACCUCCAGAAGCAGCCACGGCUAACUUCGUGCCAGCCGCCGCGGUAAG
rnacentral:rRNA from 1 species